rnacentral:snoRNA from 1 species
AAUGAUGAAAAACUUGUCUAACGACAGGCGGACCGACACAUUGAUGAGGACUCCUGAAUGUGUACAAAUGUUGAGC